GACGAACGCUGGCGGCGUGCCUAAUACAUGCAAGUUGAGCGCUGAAGGUUGGUACUUGUACCAACUGGAUGAGCAGCGAACGGGUGAGUAACGCGUGGGGAAUCUGCCUUUGAGCGGGGGACAACAUUUGGAAACGAAUGCUAAUACCGCAUAAAAACUUUAAACACAAGUUUUAAGUUUGAAAGAUGCAAUUGCAUCACUCAAAGAUGAUCCCGCGUUGUAUUAGCUAGUUGGUGAGGUAAAGGCUCACUAAGGCGAUGAUACAUAGCCGACCUGAGAGGGUGAUCGGCCACAUUGGGACUGAGACACGGCCCAAACUCCUACGGGAGGCAGCAGUAGGGAAUCUUCGGCAAUGGACGAAAGUCUGACCGAGCAACGCCGCGUGAGUGAAGAAGGUUUUCGGAUCGUAAAACUCUGUUGGUAGAGAAGAACGUUGGUGAGAGUGGAAAGCUCAUCAAGUGACGGUAACUACCCAGAAAGGGACGGCUAGCUACGUG
rnacentral:rRNA from 1 species